UACGGGGGGAGCAAGCGUUGUUCGGAUUUACUGGGCGUAAAGGGCGCGUAGGCGGCGCAACAAGUUACUUGUGAAAUCUCCGGGCUUAACUCGGAAAGGUCAAGUGAUACUGUUGUGCUAGAGUGCGGAAGGGGCAACUGGAAUUCUCGGUGUAGCGGUGAAAUGCGUAGAUAUCGAGAGGAACACCUGCGGCGAAGGCGGGUUGCUGGGCUGAUACUGACGCUGGGGCGCGAAAGCCAGGGGAGCGAACGGG
rnacentral:rRNA from 1 species